AUUUUGAACCUGCUUCUGCUUUUGGGCUGAUGCUAUGCUGUUUGGUAAAAUGUCUAGAAGUGGCUUUUGGUCCGAAUUGAUUCUCCAAGAAGCUGAAAUUGAGAAGCAGCAUUUACCAGCUUUGGGAAGCUGAUUCUGAGAAAACACGGAGUGAACAGUGUUUCAUUAAAUGAAAUUUUCUCUUUUUUCCUAUUAUGUCCUCAUCCAUCUUCUCUAUGACUUUACCUUGACCCAGAUAGGGUUUUAUUAUGCUCAGCUCGCCUCCUCUCUUCCCAGCCUCCUCUGCCGUCAAAACUCAAACCACCUAAGCUCAUAGAUCGAUCUCUUCUGUGUCUUCAAAAAACCCGAUUCCUUCGCUCCUCCGCCACACGCCCCAAACCCAAAGCAUUCCCGGACCCCAGCUUCUUCAACCUCCUUUCGUACUUGGUAAGCUCCUCAUCAAUUUCGCGUAAUCACAUCUUCGCAGCCUACCAAGAACCACUGUAUCACCGCCUCUCUCUCUCUCUCUCUCUCAAACCCAGCAGCAAAUUGAGCCGAAAGUUUCUGUCUUCAGCGAAUCAAACUCACUUCGUGUCCUGAUGGGAUUGUGAUUCGUACUUCAUCUACAAGCCUUCAACUUGGAUUAUUCGAGUACUGUUGCAAGCUUCGAUUCACUGCCAAAUUACCGCACACAGAGACGGAGUAAGUAUCAAACUGCAGUUUUCAAUUCAAUUCCAGUCCCUCCAA